CCCGCGCCCCGCGCCCCGCGCCCCGCGCCCCGCGCCCGCUGCACUUCGCACCACCCACGCGCACCGUACGUUCGCUUCUCUAUUCUCGACCUUGAUGUUUAGACGGUGCUAUUUCAUUUUUACCCAUGUUCACAAUUUUAACGUUUCGCGAUGGAUUUCUAUAAUUACGUUAUUUCCGACUAUCAAUAUAUUAUUUGUGAUAUUUUACUAUUAUUACAAGUUUACAAAUAUUUGUCUGCUACUUAUGUAAUGUUAGUUAGGGUUCCGUACCAAAAACCUAUUGGUACAACUAAGUAUAAUCUAUCACUAACAAUUAAAACAAAUAAAUAAAAUCCCGCAUUUACCGACUACAACACCUAAAAUUAUUAGUAAAAAAAACUUUCUUCUACAAAACUUCUAAUAAAAUGUAUGCUUGAAAGUUUAUAAACCCUAAUUCAAACUUUACUUAAGACCCACUUCCUUUGAUUGAGUUGUAUGUAAAUAAUUAUGAUAUACAAUGUUUCUUAAUAAAUACUAUUUACAGCAUAUAGCGAUGACUACAAAGUACGGAAUCCUAACCGAGCGAGUGUAACUCGUAAGAAUAUGUUUUACUUUAAUUUAGAACCUUAUUUUUAACUGCAUUUUUUAAAUACUUUCAUUUGUUAAUUAAUGUAAUGACGUUAUACAUAUAUAUAUAUCAAAUUAAGGUACAAAGAAAAGUAUUUAUUUUAUUUAGCUAGUUUCACUGAAAACGUACGAUUUUAAUUUAUUAUUGAUUAUACCGAUAAAUCUGUUCGUAAAUCCAGUGAUAUGCCGCACUUGUACAGUACUUGAUGUCGCUAAUCGCUAUCCGAAUUAAUAAAAAUAUGAAUCUCAGGAUUAUUACUUUUAAGUAAAUAACAGAAGAGAGAACAUUAAAGCGGUUAACAUGUCAAAUUGUUACUAAUAUUGUGCAGAAUACAUAUACAUUAAAUUUACUGGCUCAUUUCAAAUUGUAAAAGAAUAUAGUGUAAUAAUCGUGUUACAAUGAAUGUCAUAAUAUUGGAAUACAUAAUUUAUUUUAGAACUGUUACUUUAGAGUUGAAUGUGUUAAAUAAUAUUUAGACGUAAUCUUAAUGUAUAUUUUUUAUAUGUUUAUUUAAAAAGUAUUAUGAAACAUACAGAAAUUGAAAUGUUUGUAUAUUUAAGUCGCGGGCCGCACCAAUGGCAAUGGCACCUCAUCCGCUACUUAGAGCCACAACUCACUGAAUGGAACUUUCUUUCGACAUAAAUAUGCUCUAAAUAUAAUAAAUUUAUCAAUUAAUGUUACGAUUGUUGUUACGAUAUUAAUGUAUUCCUCUUAAAUAAUUUACGCUUGCGUCCACUAGUGUUUUGUAAACAUACAUGCUUUUUACAAUGAUGUGACACGAAUUAGGUUUUUACCUAUUUUUUAAGAUAAUAUUAGAUGCAUUUCGAUGCUCAAAUUCAAUUCUGACUGACAAUCAAUAUCAUCAAUAUCAUUUGAAAGGUCUUUGCAAUAUAUUUGUGCUCAAAAUAUGUUUAUUCAAAUCUGUAACAUAUGAAUAUGUAAUAUAUUUGAGCAUUUGAUCUAAGGCAGCGACAUGAGCAACGUAACCUGUUCCAAUUUUGUAGUAGAAAUGCCGCAGUUUUACUCUAGACGCAAACACUUUUCUUGGAUUUCUUGGUCUGAAAUAACACAUGCCUACAAGGAAUGACUUUGUUUUUAAAACAUCAUAGUCACUUUUUUUUAUAUAGGAGUUUUUUUUAUUGGGAGUUUGCAACAUAUAAUUGAACUUAUUAAUUGUAAGAAGCAAAUAAUGUUGCUAGUCGAUGUAAGAAUACGACUUGGAAGUGUUCUUCCUUGUAGAUGUAGACUAUCGACAUCGCUACGACCUGUUAAAUUAUAUCACAUAUUCUCGAGCACCGUGCUGACAUUAAUGAAAUAAUGAAUUGAAUGAUAUUUAGCAUUAGAUUGUUUUAGUACAAGAUACUCGUAUUUUAUUAGAUGCAUAAUUAAAUGAUUGCAUUUCAUGAUACACUUCUGUGCUACGAUACAUAUUUUUACCAUGUUUUAUGUCGAAUACACGUUUACUUGGGCACACGUAAAUGAUCUAACUUUAUAUAUUACACUGUCUUUUAUUUAAAAUUAAUUGUGAAAAGGCGGCUAUUCAAUAUUGGAUUACGAAAUUAUGAUUUUAGAAACAAAAUUAUAUUUUUAUUACAUUAGUUACAAUAGUACUUAUUGUAAGUCAAUUAAUCCACUAUUGCAAAUAGUCGCCUUUAUAAUGUUUGAUAAAAUCUGUAUAUAACAUACAUUAAGGAAGAAUUGAGGGGUAAAAUGAGGUCUCUUUGUGUUGUCGAGUUGGUAGCCGCCGCCGCUGACAGAGAGCUAGGCUACUGACGCUAGACAAGGGGUGCCGAGAGUAUGAGGCGGUCGAUUGGUUUAUACUUUUUGUACCAUUGCUCUCGGAUUAUUAUUGUUAAUAUCUAAAUCUAAAUAGAUACAUAUGUAGAUUAUUUAUAAUUAGCACGACCUAGCUACAUUAUUGUAAUAAUAUUGAAGAAAUAGGAUACCUGCCUUUGUUAUAAUUGCUUAAUUCAUUUACAUGAAUAAGUUAUUGAUAUUAUGAUAAAAUCAUAAAAUCAGAAUGAAAAGUAAUAAUUUGUUUUCUUUUUAGUCUGGCAAACAAAAAGCAUAGAUGGAACCGAAAUGUAAAAUAAUGUUGGAUGUCGUAACUUAUUUAUCUGCUUGGCGUGAUAAUGCUGCUACACACAUGUGGAAUAGCAGCUCGGAGCGCACUCUCAGAGCUGCUACACACGUGUUCACAUGAUUUUAUAAUUUAAAGGCGCGGUUAGACGGUUAUGAAAGAAUACUAUUGGCGCAAUCAGAUAGAUGUUGUUAACAAUUAAGUUAUUAUGAUGGGUGUCAAGUAUUAUUAUUUAUUCUCACUAGUAGCUCGGCAAAAUGAAUAAUAAAAUACGGUCGAAUUGAUAACCUCCUCCUUUUUUUUAAGUCGGUUAAAAAAUCGCAGAUCAGUCCAUUUAAAUAAAUUAAUAUUAUAGGACAUUCUUACACAGAUUGACUAAGUCCCACGGUAAGCCCAAGGAGUCUUGUGUUAUGGGUACUCAGACAACGAUAUAUAUAAUAUACAAAUACUUAAAUACAUAGAAAACACCCAUGACUCAGGAACAAAUAUCUGUGCUCAUCACACAAAUAAAUGCCCUUACCGGGAUUCGAACCACCAUUUGUUGUCUGUAUAUGGAUUGUUGCUGUGGAAUUGCACACUAUACACUCAAAAAUGUAUAUAUCUCAUGGUAACGUUCAUUAAUUAAUACAGAAACAAGUAAUCGCAUCCAUCAGAUAAGGUAACUCAGACCAAGAUUUAAGUUUCAGUUAAGAGUUUAAAAGUUCGUAAAUUUUAUUAGGAUUUACAUUAUAUUUAUUUCAUAAAACAAUAAAAUAACAAUGUGGAAUAAGCUCGUCAAUUUGACCGAAUCAAUAUUUUUUCUUUAUUUACGUAAUUACACUUAAUACUUGUAGGCCACGGUGUUAGUGAUGCGGAAUUUAGCCUUAGCACUCCGCUUUUGUAUAAUAACUUGACGAAAUUUUAUUCGUACACGUAGGUACGUACUGCAGAAAACUACAAAUUGCCUACACGACACUGAUUUGGUCAACGCCGGUCCAUUAAUUUUGCAUAAACAAUGUCAGUUAAUCAAUCAUAAGUAUCAUAAUCAUCAAUAGUUAAGCUUUGCUUUAUUAGUGGAGAGUCAACGCAGCGAUUAACUAAAGAGUAGUAGCGUAAAACCACGUAAAAUUUACAGAAUAUACGUAUCAAUUCUAACAGUCUUCUAUCAGGAUUGCAAUAGGUGGUAUUAUAUAUGAAAUUUUAAUGGAUAACAUUUUACAUCGCAGCCUGAUAGCGAAAGAUCCGAGAUGUCGCGUCGAGCCCUAUCAUUUGAAAUUUGAGUAUGUUGUAGGUCACCGAGAGUGACGACGGCUGGAGUCAGUUCGCGGUUAGGCUGCCGUAUAAUAUUCAUCCAGUGUAAACUCUAAGCCCUUAUCACCUGUACGAAACAUUUCCUUGGAAACUUAUCAUCACAUACCGUGGGUCCUUAGAGCGUUUUCACAUUGCCAGAUCCGAUAUCGGAUGUAGGAUCCUACAUUCGAGUAAUCGAGGCGCCCGGGCGCCGUCUUUAGCGGUCACGCACACUACAAGCAUUAUGCCUACACAUACGCACACAAACAAAUAUUAUCGGUCCGACAGCUGACGAGGAGCUCCCGACAUGGCUGAAUUUAUCGGAAGCACCUUUCCGAUAUCGGGUGUCGGAAGGCGCCUAUGACAAAAACAACUGCAGGAGAGUGCCAUUGGCAUUAAGUUCGCCUUUUUGCGUUAUUUAUCGUUUUUUUAGUAAUAAUGAUUUAUUAAACGCAUAAAUAAAUACAAGGAAACACAUAUCUUACAUUUUACUUCCUUCCGACAUCCAAUAUCGGAUCGGACAAUGUGAAAACGCUCUUAGGGAUCCAUAGAUUUAUUUAAUAUCAACAGGACGUUUGCUUGUUGCUACAAUUAUUCUGUACGAUUAAAUGAUUUUAUAAUAA